ACGUCUCCCCUCCCCUGACUGCAUCCCAAAACCAAGCCAGCUCGUAGCCGCCUCCCUAACCUGUCCUCCCACCUAUCCACUCCUCCCACCUCAAGCCCCACCCCCAUCUCCUACCUACUGGCGUCAUCCCGCCUCCUUGACCUGUCCGUCCUCCCUGGACUGACCUAUCCCCUCCCUAACUCCCCACCUACACCAUCUUUACUGGCUCCAACCCCGCCUCCUUGACCUAUCUGUCUCCUCUCCACCUAUCUCCUCCUUUAUCCAUCUUCUAUCCGCCUCCCCCUUUCUCCCUAUUUAGUUCAGAAUCCAUUUCUGAAGAAGGGUCUAGACCCGAAACGUCAGCUUUCCUGCUCCUCUGAUGCUGCUUGGCCUGCUGUAUUCAUCCAGCUCUACACCUUGUUGUCUCAGAUUCUCCAGCAUCGGCAGUUCCUACUACCCCUCACACCUGAUGUGGCUAAGUGUGAUAUGGUGUGUUAUCAAGGUCUUUAGACAGACUUGGAACAUUUUAUUACUUUGAAGGUGCAUUUAAAUUCAGGUUGUUCUUUUUAAUCUGCAUUGGGGCCCAUUUCAUCACAUUAAUCCAUGUAAAAUAUUGUGAUUCUCCUUAAAUCAGGAAAAAUACAGCACUAAUAUUUCCAGUUUCAAACCUAUCUAGGAGAUAUAAUAUUAAAGGAAUAUAUAUAUAUAUUCUGAGAUGACUUUUAAUUUUAAGUUAUUAGGUUUUAAAUCUAUCUACACGUACAGUCUAACUGUAGCCAAGUUUGUUUUGAUAUUAGAGUAAAUGUUUUAUUUAUUGUUCAUAUUUACAGUUGUGCCCAGAUACCGUGACUAAGCUGAAGGCUGCUUACAUCUUUGGAAUCACAUAUCAGCAACAAUGUACAUUUCUUGUUUCCAAGCUUUUAUCUGAUUAUGGUGACAUUCAAUUUUAUGACUUAUACAUGCUUUACAAAGGGGAAGAUGGUGAGGAUAAACUUCAUCCUAUUGCAGUUCGUAACUUAAACUUUCAAUACAAUGGACACUUUGUUAACCAAGUGAUUAAUUUUAAUAGCCAGAAAAGUGGAAGCAUCACAAAUUGGGAGCUGCUCUGGUCCCUGUCACAAAUGUUAUUCCCUCGCCACAAGCGCCAUUCCUGUCUCUGCACGGUGAAGCAGUCCCGGAGCAAGGCUGGUGCGGGGAAUCGAGUCCUGGAGCGGAGGCUGGCAUAGGAAGCGAGUCCCGGAGUGGAGGCCAGCACGGGUAAUCAAGUCCCAGAGAAAAUUUAUCUUGGAGCAGCUGAGAGGUGGUACAGACCGGACUGGAGGCUUGGACCAGAACGGGGAAGUUGUUGGUCUGGGUCUGGCGCAGGCUGUCAGACCACAUGUGGAAGCACCUGAGCUACUGCAAUGUAAUACAGAAAAUAACUGGCGUUUUACUAGACGUAUUUUCUUGGUGGAUACUUUAUCUGGUCGUGAAAUUAACCUAAAGAAUGAACCAAAGGUGAUUAGAGUUGCUAACAGUAUAAAAAUCAGGGUCAAUCUUGUGCCUAACACUCUACAAGGAAAUAUCUUUCCUCCUACUCUGAUUGUUUCCUACAAAAGUAUUAAGAUCCAAGAUCCAGAUCAACAGUCUGUUGCAAUAUCUUUUUCAGUUGAAUAUGAAAUGGACUUGUCUGCAUCUUAUCAGAAUACAGAG